GCCCGCUUGGUCUAGAGACAUGACGUCUCACUCGUAUCAUAAAAAACUAUGAAAUGAGAAGGUCGCAGAUUCGAAUUCUGCAGUGGGCA